AGAGUUUGAUCAUGGCUCAGGAUGAACGCUGGCGGCGUGCCUAACACAUGCAAGUCGAACGGUAGCAGGCCUAGUUUACUAGGUGCUGACGAGUGGCGGACGGCUGAGUAACGCGUGGGAAUGUGCCCUAAAGUGAGGGAUAACGCACCGAAAGGUGUGCUAAUACCGCAUAUGGUCUUCGGAUUAAAGAAUUUAUUCGCUUUAGGAGCAGCCCGCGUCGGAUUAGGUAGUUGGUGAGGUAAAGGCUCACCAAGCCCACGAUCCGUAGCUGGUCUGAGAGGAUGACCAGCCAGACUGGAACUGAGACACGGUCCAGACUCCUACGGGAGGCAGCAGUGAGGAAUCUUCCACAAUGGGCGAAAGCCUGAUGGAGCAACGCCGCGUGCAGGAUGAAGGCCUUCGGGUUGUAAACUGCUUUUAUAAGUGAGGAGUAUGACGGUAACUUAUGAAUAAGGAUCGGCUAACUACGUGCCAGCAGCCGCGGUAAUAC
rnacentral:rRNA from 1 species